CUGAUGGAUUAGGAGGAUGAUCUUUAUAGCAGUAUUUUGCAGGGAUGUGCACAGACUGAAAAUACACUUGGGAAGACCAAAGAGAAGGAUGUUUCAGUAAUCAAAAUGCAAGACAAUUGGAUUUUAGCCAGGUUAGGUAAGGCCAUUUGAUGCUUUUUAAUGGGAAGACUAGACUACUAGCAGCAACUUUCUUAUCUUGCCUGGAAGUGAAAGGAAGAGUUUUGAAUCAAUUUCUCCCUCUGAUUAUCAUUGGGUUUUGUUCCAAAUUCUGACAGCCUGCAGCAUUCAUGAGACACUCCCAUUCACAUCUGUGGGAGGACAUAGAAUCAUAGAAUUGUUCAAGUUGGAAAAUACCUUCAAGAUCAUCCAUCAAGUCCAGCCAUUAACCCAACACUGUGAAGUCCAACACUAAAGCAUAUCCUUAAGUGCCACAUCUACACAUCUUUCAAAUAAGUUUAGGGAUGAUGACUCCGUCACUUCCUUCAAGCCUGUUCCAAUGCUUGACAACCCGCUCAGUUAAGGUUGAAGGACCUUUGGGGUCCUGCCAUCUCUCUGACUGAACUUGUGUAAGUCCUGACUGAGAGUUGGAAGAUAUUACUGUUAGGACAGUAGGACCCAGAAGACAUAAGUGCAGACAAGAUCCCGUUGCACAAGGCAUAAUGAAAAUCCUGAAGACAGGCUCCCUUCAGGUGAUGAAAGCCAAGGUUUAUUUGAAGUGACGCAGGAGGACUGAGCAGAAAGACUGCUUCUGCACAACAUCUGUAAUAGCUGAAACUCAGUAUGAGCUUACUUUAAUAGCAAUUAUAGACAUAAAGCCAAUUAGAUCAUCUUUAAGAAGCCACUCCUUAUCUGAGGGGAGUUUACAGCCUCUGGUAGUAGUGCAGAUAACCAGCUCAAAAGAGACCAUUUCAGUUUCCAGCUGACUUAGUGGCUUAAAGGGCUGAGUU